CGCCGCCGCGGGAAUACAGAGGGUGCGAGCGUUAAUCGGAUUUACUGGGCGUAAAGCGUGCGUAGGCGGCUUUUUAAGUCGGAUGUGAAAUCCCUGAGCUUAACUUAGGAAUUGCAUUCGAUACUGGGAAGCUAGAGUAUGGGAGAGGAUGGUAGAAUUCCAGGUGUAGCGGUGAAAUGCGUAGAGAUCUGGAGGAAUACCGAUGGCGAAGGCAGCCAUCUGGCCUAAUACUGACGCUGAGGUACGAAAGCAUGGGGAGCAAACAGGAUUAGAUACCCGGGUAGUCCCUGUCUCUUAUACA
rnacentral:rRNA from 1 species